AAAAGUACCUGCACUUUAUGUUUCAGAAAAUCCAUCCUGUGUCUACAGAAAUGAACAACCCCUCCUAUGAACCCUAAUAAAUAUCUGGAAGAUCUCAAGGAAUGAACCUUGGCUGACCCAUUUGUGCACAUCUUUGAAUUCCCUCCCUUCUGCACUUUUUGUGGAACUGGACAGCUCCUCAGAAGUAUUCAAAAGCAACAAUACCAUCAUUCAGGACUUCUGGCUCCCUGAGGACUAGAACUGAGCCAUGGCCAGCAAACACCCUUCAGAAUCAGACCAGUGGACCAGGCAAACACUCUAAGGAGCUGCUUUCCUUCAGCCCUUCUGAGCUGGGGGAAAGAAGGACCCCACGUCUGAUAUGCCAGUGCCUGUUGCCAUCUGGCCACCGAAGAGAGUGUCCCCUCUAUAGGGACUGCUUAGCGUCCAGACGCACACCAAGACCUGAGGUAUCAUCUUUGGCAGUGGGCAGGAAGUACCAAGGAACUUGCUUCAUGGGCCCUUGGAUGCCCCCCAGAGACUCAUGGUCACCCUCACGUCAUAGGACAAGAAAGAGUUCAGCCUACAGAGACUGUGGACUUUCAGCCCUUCCCCUUUCGGCCAUCCCACUCAGAGUCCAAGAGCUCAUUGACUCCUCAUCCUCCUGGGCAUCCCUGCAGUGACACGGUUGCCAUGGACACCAAGCUGACGCCUCCCUCACAGGGAAACUGAAAGAGCCUGAGUAGCAACCAUAAGAGCGUGUAUGACAGAAGGCAUGUUGGACUCAACGAGCUCACUGCUGUCAAAGAAAGGGAGCCUCUCGUGGGCCUGGCUGGGACCUCUGUGAAAACCGGCGCCACAGCCAACAAA